rnacentral:sRNA from 23 species
UGAAAAGGACUCGGCUAAGGGCUUUCACAUCCUGUGAAAAAAGCCGAGUACCUUCGUCCUGGUGU